rnacentral:sRNA from 1 species
AAAGAUAGAUACGAUUGCAUUGCAUGUAGUAAACGGAUGCGAUCAUACCAGCACUAAUGCACCGGAUCCCAUCAAAACUACGCAGUUAAGCGUGCUUGGGCGAGAGUAGUACUAGGCUGGGUGACCUCCCGGAUAGUCCUCGUGUUGCAUCCCUCUUUUCUUUUUCGGUUUUUCUCUAUUUUGUUUUGUUAAAAUUGUAUGACUCUAUAACUUUUAGACCGUGAGGCCAAACUUUGCAUGUGAUACCUUUUCGGAAAGCCCAAAGAGAGCUCUCCGAUGAAUGAGGAAGGAAAAUGGAAUUCUUCUAUUGUUUGUUUUUUCUAUUCCAAAUUUUGACCUUAAUGUACUUUUUCGGGCUUUUUCGUGAUCUUUGCCAUAUUACGGGGCGAAAUUAUAUGUUCGGACAUUGGUUUUGAAUAUUUUGUAUGUAUCAAAGCUCUUAUAAACAAGAUAUGGUAUUCCUACAUGGCUGGCGUGACCCACAGCAAAUGGAUCAUAAAGUCUUCAAAAAAAGAAUAUAUACGAUUGCAUUGCAUGUAGUAACGGAUGCGAUCACACCAGCACUAAUGCACCAGAUCCAAUUAAAACUCCGCAGUUGAGCAUACUUGGGCGAGAGUAGUACUAGGAUGGGUGACCUCCCGGAAAGUCCUCGUGUUGCAUCCCUCUUUUCUUUUUUUUGUUAAAAAUGUACGACUUUAUAACUUUUAGACCAUGAGGCCAAACUUGGAAUGUGAUACCUUUUCGGAAAGCCCAAAGAGAGCUCUCCUAUGAAUGAGGAAAGAAAAUGGAAUUCUUCUAUUGGUUUUUUAUUCUACUCCAAAUUUUGACCUUAAUGUACUUUUUUGGUCUUUUUCGUGAUCUUUGCUAUAUGACAGGGCGAAAAUUAUAUGAUCGGACAUUGUUUUCGAAUAUGUUGCAUGUAUCAAAGCUCUUAUAAACAAGAUAGGGUAUUCCUACAUAGCUGGUGGGAGCCACGGCAAAUGGAUCUUAAAGUCUUCCAAAAAAGAAUAGAUACGAUUGCAUUGCAUGUAGUUAACGGAUGCGAUCAUACCAGCACUAAUGCAACGGAUCCCAUCAAAACUCCGCAGUUAAGCGUACUUGGGCAAGAGUAGUACUAGGAUGGGGGACCUACC